rnacentral:rRNA from 1 species
CCUACGGGUGGCAGCAGUGGGGAAUAUUGCGCAAUGGGCGAAAGCCUGACGCAGCGACGCCGCGUGAGGGAUGAAGGUCUUCGGAUCGUAAACCUCUGUCAGCAGGGAAGAACGGUCACUGUGCUAAUCAGCAGUGAAUUGACGGUACCUGCAAGGGAAGCACCGGCUAACUCCGUGCCAGCAGCCGCGGUAAUACGGAGGGUGCGAGGGUUAAUCGGAAUUACUGGGCGUAAAGCGGUCGUAGGCGGUAUGUCAAGUCAAGGGUGAAAUCCCCGCGCGCAACGUGGGAACUGCCGUUGAAACUGGCAAACUCGAGUGGGGGAGAGGAUUGGGGAAUGCCAGGUGGAGGAGGGAAAUCCGUAGAUAUCUGGAGGAACAUCAGUGGCGAAGGCGACUAUCUGGCACAUAACUGACGCUGAGGAGCGAAAGCGUGGGUAGCAAACAGGAUUAGAUACCCGAGUAGUC